GCUGGCUGUCCGGGUGUGUAAAAUACACCUGUUAGCAAGGGCCGGGCAAGACCGGUGCCAGCCGCCGCGGUAACACCGGCGGCCCGAGUGGUGAUCGUGAUUAUUGGGUCUAAAGGGUCCGUAGCCGGUUUGGUCAGUCCUCCGGGAAAUCUGAUUCAACUAUUAGGCUUUCGGGGGAUNCUGCCAGACUUGGAACCGGGAGAGGUAAGAGGUACUACAGGGGUAGGAGUGAAAUCUUGUAAUCCCUGUGGGACCUCUUACCAGAACGGGUUCGACGGUGAGGGACGAAAGCUGGGGGCACGAACCGGAUUAGAUACCCGGGUAGUCCCAGCCGUAAACGAUGCUCGCUAGGUGUCAGGCAUGGCGCGACCGUGUCUGGUGCCGCAGGGAAGCCGUGAA
rnacentral:rRNA from 1 species